AUGAACUGCACCAAAUUUCAUGUGUAUGAUUAACCUGACACCCUCUGGGAGUAUGCCAAGUUUUGUGGACUUUCAUCCAUGGGGGGCUAUAAUAAAUGUAUUUAUGUGUGCAUUUAGUGAAUGGUCCCUCAACGUGGCUGCUCUACACUGAAGCCUAGAAUGGCCCCAUGGCCCCAUGUAGCUGUGUCACUGGCACCCCCGUGGCUACCCUGUGCUUACCAAAUAAAACAAUUAUGUAUUUAUUACGAUUUUAUAUGAGAACGUCAAAAGCAGAACUAAUGCAACCACGUUCAAACACUGCAGCCUGCUGCCACUGGUGUGUGGCGCUGGCGCUGCUCAGUGAAUGAUAGAUCAGACCAGAGAGAAGAAGACAAACGAAGAAGAUGGAGUUGUGAUUUCUCAGUUCCGAAUGGCGGCCAUAUUGGAAUUUUCUUUACUGUCGCUAGUUUCACACUACUUGAUUUCUCAUGUUGCAGUAAGCUAAACGAUUUCAUCUCUUACGUGACUUGUUGUUCUUGCAGAUGCGAAUAGCCUACAAUGUCAGUACUCAAACCACCAGUAGCAGGCUUAGGACUAGGUAAGUAAAACAUCUCUUCUCUAUAUCUCUACUAUUUUCAUUUUAAAAACUGUAUGUAAAGCGUAAUUCUAGCCAACACCUGUUUCCAAAAUGUAUUUAUAGAGUCUGUACAUGUGGUCCCUAGCUUGGUUUGCCCGAAAAUUAAGUGGAAAUAUCCUUUAGAAGUGUUUACUUUAGGCGCUAGUUAGCAUGUAACAGCAUCUGAAUUAAUGAACUGGCAUGGUGCAUUUAUACCUGACGAUCUCUUUCAAGUAAUUUAAAUAAAAAACGGACAUCAUGGUUAGUAUUUAUAGAGUCUGUACAUGUGGUCCCUAGCUUGGUUUGUCUGAAAAUUAAGUGGAAAUAUCCUUUAGUAGUGUUUGUACUCUAGGCGCCAGUUAGCAUGUAACAGCAUGUGAAUGAAUGAACCACUAGCAUGGUGCAUUUAUACCUGACGAUCUCUUUCAAGUUAUUUGAAUAAAAAACUGACAUCAUGGUUAGUAUUUAUAGAGUCUGUACAUGUGGUCCCUUGCUUGGUUUGUCUGAAAAUUAAGUGGAAAUAUCCUUUAGAAGUGUUUGUACUUUAGGCGCUAGUUAGCGUGCCAGGUGUCAUACCAUUGCAGUAAUCAUCUCACUAAACACGUCUUUUCAUAUCCAAUCUGUUCAACAGAGUUUGCCAGUCAGACCACUACACCUUUGCCAGCACCACCACCCAGCAAGCUUCAUCAACUCCAGCCAUGCCGAGUUUACCAAUCAGACCUACACCUCUGUCAAAUUCGCUCACAACGCUGCCAGUAACACCCCAGCAAGGUAGAACUGCAUUUUCAUUAAUCUGGCACCAAUAUCAAGGGAGAAACAAGCCAUGAAUGUCUGUCACAACUUCUUUGCAUCUUUACUUUCCUUACAUCUGAAGAGUGUGUUACAUAUAUCAUUAUUAAAAAUAAUUUUAAUAAAUUGUUUAAGCAUGUACAAUAAAUAAAGCAUGUAAAUGAGCAUGUAAAAUAAAUAAACAAAAGCAAGUAAAAUAAAUAAAUAAACAAAAUGUAUUGAACCUAAUAGGCUACUAUGUGUGGUGAGUCUGUGUGAUAGUUGCUGAGGAUAAAUGUUUUUAUAUUGGAUUAUUAAAUUACAGAAUACAUUUAUAGGUUUCUCAUCAGCAGGCACUGUCUUCACCUUAGUAAAUUUGGUAACUUUGGUAAGUCCUGUAAAUAAUUGUAAAUUGUUCUGAUUGAGGGCAAAUGGAAAGUGUUAUAAUGUAUUAUUGCUAUUUUAGUGCAUCAUUUUCAUUAUUAUGGCCAUAAAUAAGGCCAAUUAGAAGCUGGUGGGUAGUAAGCGGCAAAAGGGUGGCCCUUUAUCUGGAGCCGCUUCUGAGCCGCCGCUGGACAGCCAGAGAACUGAUGAGCAAAACUCCAGCGGGCCACUGGUGGUUACCGCCGUUGGACCGCCAACUCUGCCGCUGGUUUGUAACAGUAACUUUAGCAUUGCCCAUUAAAUGAUUGCAAAAUAUUUAUUGAGGUGAGUUUAACAAGUGUAAUUUCAUUGGCAUAUAAUUCAGGCCUAUAGUAGAUGGCUAAAUGGCUACAGUAGAAGGAUACACGAAAAGCCCAAACUACCAAAAUCUUCAUAUUUUAUUACCACAGUUUCUAUCUAUAGGCCUCUCUUAUUUGGUAUACUGACUAGACAUUAUUGAACAAACAUAGGCUAUUCAUCUGUAUUUCAGUAUCUCAGUAGCCUAGGUUAAAGUAUUUUUUAGAUACCUCCCUGAAAUUACUUUUUGCAGGUUGUGUUCUAUAUCUGUCUUCUAUACGUUCUGACGUUACUGUUAAAAUGGCGUAACUGUUAAAUUCCAAUAUAGUGAGUAGGCUAUUGGCAAAACCGAUUGGCAUUUUUAUGUUGAGCCGGCAGGGGGCUCAGUUUAAAAAGUAACUAAGUUCGCACACACACAUCAACAGAUUCACACGCACAGAUAAACACACUUCCACGGAUUCCACACACACACACACACACAUGCGCACACAUGCACAUUCACACACACAGACAGACACACACACAUCUUUAUACAAGCAAACUCACACAUGCACACACUCAUGUACACAUGAGCUGCAAGAGUAGGAGAAAUACAUACAGUAUAUUGCACAAAUCGGAGAUAAGGCAGGUUUAGACUUGCUGCAGACAACGCGUUCGUGUUCGUAUCAUGACUGCCUCGCGUAUUUUGCGGUCGUUUGGUGCGUCGGUCGUGCACGUCGUCGCAAGCGAACAUGACGCGUCCGCGAGAUGCAAUACUGAUAAGAAAGUAGGGGGCGAUCACUACAAAAAAAGGUGACUGCAAGAUGCAUUAUCGACAUCGAAGCUGGGGGCAAUCAUGAGAGUAAACAAUGGCACAUGGCCACAUCCACAUCUGAUGUUACUAUUCUCCCCCUAGUGAAGACCUCCAGUAGGGUGCGUAAUGCUGCAGCGAGUCUGUACACCGGACACAGCAGGUCGCACACGGGCGCAUAUGCUUACGGUUGGUCUAACAGCAAGUAUAAUCCCAGCCAUACAGGAAAGUUGACGAGCGUAAUUCGUUUUGGAGAGAAUGUGCAGAACUG